UUCUUGAAGUUUUAGAUUAAA
rnacentral:piRNA from 1 species